ensembl:lncRNA
AAAAAAAAAAAAAAAGAUACCCAUCCCUAAGCGCGUCCUCACUGCAUCCUACUGCGACGCAACGGACAUUCAUGUACUUUUAAUCGUCAACGGAGUCUUCUACAGUGCCUAUUGUACAUCCACACAUACAGUAUCUCCAUGAACUGGUUCAUCUUGGCUGGCAUGUGUGAAAUAGGGCUGCAUUCACUGCACUAUACACACGCAAAACAAACCCACAGCAUCACACACUCCUAGAACAUCAUACAUAUAGCAUCACACACUCCUAGAACAUCAUACAUAUGCUUUUUCUAUGUCAUUUAACACACAGCAAUUCCACGUUGCAUGACACACACACAGACAGCAUCCUACCUAGCAACAGUGACAUACUCCACUUUGGUCAUCACCCAGUCUCAGACACACAAAUCAGACAACCUUGUGUGUGUGUGUGUGUGUGUCUAGGCGGGCUCCCAGCGGUUCAGUGAGAACAUGCCACACAAGUUCGAAAUCCGCAGCUACAAAGUUCCCACCUUCUGCAACCACUGCAGCUCCAUGCUGUGGGGCUUCAUGCGUCAGGGCCUUCAGUGCAAAGGUGAGACCCGUUCCCCUCUUCAUACUGGCCACCCCCUAGAGUAACACAUCUCAUGCGCCAGGGCCUUCAGUGCAAAGCCUGUAAGAUGAAUGUGCACAAGCACUGUGAGAAUAAUGUGGCUCCUAGCUGUGAAUGAAUCAAUGAAGUUCAGAGUCUGGGAGAAGAUGCAAGAGAUUGUUCAAUAAACUCCUGUGACUCUGGAUCCCAACACUGCACACCCAAAACUCAUCCUCAGUUCCUCAGAUAUGGAGGAGAUGGGAUAGAAUUUUCUCCUUACUUUUCAUGAUUUUGCUGAUUUUCAGAAUCUCUACACACACACCUGUUCCCUAAUAACCUGAUAUCUUCAUGCCUAAACUGCUCUGGGAAUGAGUUGAUUAUGAUGUUUGGAUUAAUGAUUAUGUUUCAGAUCAAAAUAAAUAGUUAGGUUAUUAGAUGUUUGUCCUGUUCGCAUUAAAUACAUUUAUAAUCUAUGACAUCUGUGACAUGUCAUUAAUAUCUGUAAUCUAGAAUAUUCCAUAACUGUCUAAUGCAAGCUGGUGACAUAGGCAUCGCCCUCUACACACUCAACAUUCCACACCUCCCAGUUUCUGAUUACUGACUCCACCCACAUCAUCACACACCUGAAAGCCAUUAUGGACUCAGUAAGUCACUGAAUAAGUACCUGUGUCACCUGUUAUGAUACCACUAUUCAAGUCUACUUCCUGGCUGAGCAUCCCUGGUAGUCUUGAUACUCACCUGUGUCUGCCUCUCCCUUUACUGAUUUUAACUGAGCCUUUUGAUGAACCUGUUUUCCUGUGUACUGGUCUCCUGCCUUAUUGCCUUUCAUGAGUGUGCACCAUUGUAAAGAAUAAACCUGGUUCCUUAUCAAAAACCAUCCUCUUGACAGAGUCUCCAUGUAUCUGUGGUAUUAGAACAUGAGAUAUGAGAUGAGAUAUUUUGGGGAUUUGCUGAGAUUUGAGUCUGCUGUAAGAUCCUCAUCACCCC